ACGCGAGUGACAAUUGCAAUUAUCUUACAAUCGUGCGUCUGGACAAAAUCAGGGGAAGCAAUAUAGAAAACGAUUGCCGGGCACGGUGAUAAUGAGAAAGUAACUUACAAUGGUCAGGUAAUCUCCGUUCUCAUCGUGUGUGGCGUCCUCAAAGAGUGUUUUUUCAUCCUUUUCAGCCACAAUAUCAAACGCAUCCGUUUUACCUGAAACAAUUGAAUCGAAUAUUUAAUUCAAUUAUAAUCAAUUUCAUAACUCGGACGAGUGUUCUUUCAAAUAAUAGAAAUUUUUUAGCAACAGGUAGUUGCUAAGCGUGACCAUAGCAUCAUAAUUGAAGGUCUGUCGACUCUAAAGCCGUGCUUGAUUCCAUGUAAUAAAGCUGAUAUACUCUAUUCACAUGUAUUCGUAUACAUAUAUCGGAUAUUUUUCUAGCCGCGCUCAAUCUAUCAAUUAACGUGAUUCAGUUGUUAAUGCAUCAGUAAUUAUGAUAACGAAGCUUGUUAGUACACCUAUUCUAUGUGCGUAUCUAUGGGGUUUAUGGGUCAUAGUGACAUUUAUUGCAAUUAAAAGUCAAUUGGAUUUAAUAGACAAGAUAGAUAUUUGUCCCAAUUUUUUGAAAGCUUAUUCUAUUUUGCAGGAUAACAUGCUUUAUUACAAAAUAAUUGCGUAAUGUGCGCGCGCAUAUUUGAUGGAAGCAGAAUGGUGCUUAAGAGAUUGGGUAAGACACGAUCAUUUACGCACCGAAUAAAUGAUCUGGAAAUAAUUCAUCCUCCAAGCUGUCUUCGUCCUCGCUUGGGAAGAAAUACUCAUUCGGCGGCGAUGCCAUAUGAAUUAUGCUUUCGGCCUUGCAAUCAUUGAGUUAAGCGGAGCUACGUGAUCUCGCACUGUUUCAAACUAUAUUUCUUUGCGUUUGCUUUCAUUAUGCCAAUAACGUUAUGUUAUUAUACGUCAAUGUCCACAUUAAACAUUUUCAAAAAAUUUGUCUUUAAAAUGAUCACUGAAAUCCACACUAAAAAAAAAAA